AGUGAACGCUGGCGGCAGGCCUAACACAUGCAAGUCGAACGGCAGCACAGUAAGAGCUUGCUCUUACGGGUGGCGAGUGGCGGACGGGUGAGGAAUACAUCGGAAUCUACUUUUUCGUGGGGGAUAACGUAGGGGAACUUACGCUAAUACCGCAUAUGAUCUACGGGUGAAAGCAGGGGAUCUUCGGAUCUUGCGCGAUUGAAUGAGCCGAUGUCGGAUUAGCUAGUUGGCGGGGUAAAGGCCCACCAAGGCGACGAUCCGUAGCUGGUCUGAGAGGAUGAUCAGCCACACUGGAACUGAGACACGGUCCAGACUCCUACGGGAGGCAGCAGUGGGGAAUAUUGGACAAUGGGCGCAAGCCUGAUCCAGCCAUACCGCGUGGGUGAAGAAGGCCUUCGGGUUGUAAAGCCCUUUUGUUGGGAAAGAAAAGCAGCAGGUUAAUACCCCGCUGUUCUGACGGUACCCAAAGAAUAAGCACCGGCUAACUUCGUG
rnacentral:rRNA from 1 species